rnacentral:rRNA from 1 species
AGGGAAUCUUCCACAAUGGACGCAAGUCUGAUGGAGCAACGCCGCGUGAGUGAAGAAGGUUUUCGGACCGUAAAGCUCUGUUGUUGGUGAAGAAGGAUAGAGGUAGUAACUGGCCUUUAUUUGACGGUAAUCAACCAGAAAGUCACGGCUAACUACGUGCCAGCAGCCGCGGUAAUACGUAGGUGGCAAGCGUUGUCCGGAUUUAUUGGGUGUAAAGCGAGCGCAGGCGGAAGAAUAAGUCUGAUGUGAAAGCCCUCGGCUUAACCGAGGAAUUGCAUCGGAAACUGUUUUCUUGAGUGCAGAAGAGGAGAGUAGAACUCCAUGUGUAGCGGUGGAAUGCGUAGAUAUAUGGAAGAAUACCAGUGGCGAAGGCGGCUCUCUGGUCUGCAACUGACGCUGAGGCUCGAAAGCAUGGGUAGCGAACAGGAUUAGAUACCCUGGUAGUCCAUGCCGUAAACGAUGAGUGCUAAGUGUUGGGAGGCUUCCGCCUCUCAGUGCUGCAGCUAACGCAUUAAGCACUCCGCCUGGGGGAGUACGACCGCAAGGUUGAAAC